rnacentral:rRNA from 1 species
GGCGCGUCAAGGGUUACUGAAGCAAGCUAAACUCCGAAUGCAAGAGACAAAUGCGCGGGAGUAUGCAUGCGAGGGAGAAGAUCCGUAGUCGAAAGGGAAACAGCCCAGAUCACCAGUUAAGGUCCCCAAAUCUAUGCUAAGUGGAAAAGGAUGUGGAGUUGCGUAGACAACUAGGAUGUGGGCUUAGAAGCAGCCACCAUUUAAAGAGUGCGUAAUAGCUCACUAGUCGAGUGACGCUGCGCCGAAAAUGUACCGGGGCUAAGCAUAGUACCGAAACUGUGGAUGCAUAUAUUAUAUGCGUGGUAGGAGAGCGUUCUAAGUGCGGUGAAGUUAGAGCGAGAGGACUAAUGGAGCGCUUAGAAGUGAGAAUGCCGGUAUGAGUAGCGAAAGAUAGGUGAGAAUCCUAUCCGCCGAAAGACUAAGGUUUCCUGGGGCAGGCU